rnacentral:tRNA from 1 species
GCGGGAGUGGCGAAACUGGCAGACGCAAUGGCCUUAGGAGCCAUUGGCCGCAAGGCCGUGCAGGUUCAACUCCUGUCUCCCGCACCA